ACGCGGUGAACUACGUUCCCGGGCCUUGUACACACCGCCCGUCAAGCCAUGGAAGUUGGGGGACCUAAAGUCGGUUGCCGUAAGGCGCUGCCUAGGGUAAAACCAAUAACUGGGCU
rnacentral:rRNA from 1 species